rnacentral:rRNA from 1 species
AUUAUACCUUUGUCGCUUUGGCAGACCCGGCUUCGGCCCACCGGCUCCGGCUGGUCAGUGUCUGCCAGAGGACCUAAAACUCCGUCGUUAAUAUUCGUCUGAGUAUAUAUAAUAGUUAAAACUUUCAACAACGGAUCUCUCGGUUCUGGCAUCGAUGAAGAACGCAGCGAAAUGCGAUAAGUAAUGUGAAUCGCAGAAUGCAGUGAAUCAUCGAAUCUUUGAACGCACAUUGCGCUCGCCAGUAUUCUGGCGAGCAUGCCUGUUCGAGCGUCAUUUCAACCAUCAAGCUCUGCUUGCGUUGGGGAUCCGCGUCUGACGCGGUCCCUCAAAAACAGUGGCGGGCUCGCUAGUCACACCGAGCGUAGUAACUCUACAUCGCUAUGGUCGUGCGGCGGGUUCUUGCCGUAAAACCCCCAAUUUCUAAGGUUGACCUCGGAUCAGGUAGGAAUACCCGCUGAACUUAAGCAUAUCAAUAAGCGGAGGA